rnacentral:lncRNA from 1 species
GUGAUGAUGAAGGAAUCCAGGAGACAGCAGAAUCAGAUGGGGACACACAGUCAGAGAAACCGGGGCAAUCUGGAGUUGAGACAGAUGACUGGGAUGGCCCAGUUCUUUCCUGUGAAACUUCCUAAUAUCACAAAGAUGAAAUACGAACAUAUGGCUGAAAGUAAGAAAUCGGCAACAAGGUCCCACAUUCGGAAGACUGCAGCUGGAAGUAUUUUUUCCUUUGCUUCCAUUUCAUCAAGUUUAACUUGA